rnacentral:rRNA from 1 species
GAUGAACGCUGGCGGCGUGCCUAAUACAUGCAAGUCGAGCGAACAGACGAGGAGCUUUCUCCUUUGACGUUAGCGGCGGACGGGUGAGUAACACGUGGAUAACCUACCUAUUAGACUGGGAUAACUUCGGGAAACCGGAGCUAAUACCGGAUAAUAUAUUGAACCGCAUGGUUCAAUAGUGAAAGACGCUUUUGCUGUCACUUAUAGAUGGAUCCGCGCCGCAUUAGCUAGUUGGUAAGGUAACGGCCUACCAAGGCAACGAUGCGUAGCCGACCUGAGAGGGUGAUCGGCCACACUGGAACUGAGACACGGUCCAGACUCCUACGGGAGGCAGCAGUAGGGAAUCUUCCGCAAUGGGCGAAAGCCUGACGGAGCAACGCCGCGUGAGUGAUGAAGGUCUUCGGAUCGUAAAACUCUGUUAUUAGGGAAGAACAAAUGUGUAAGUAACUAUGCACGUCUUGACGGUACCCAAUCAGAAAGCCACGGCUAACUACGUG